rnacentral:lncRNA from 1 species
UGAGCCAGCAUCCCAGCACUUUGUGAGUUGAGUGUCAGGACAAGGAUUACCAAAGAUAGGGAGAGGAGAACUGCGAAGGCAAAAUACAGAUGACCAUCACGAACAAGGGGAAGAAGAAAAGAUAGCAGCAACACCAUUAAGAGGAAGCUAGUUCACUGGAAGGGAUUCAGAGGCCUCAACUAUAGUCGUGGAGAGAUGGAGCAAAGAAAUGGAAUAUCCUUUAAAACAAUAAUAUGAAGACAACAUGAAAAUGUAUCA